UACAAUAAGAACAAAAAAGAUAUAAUUCGUGAAAGUCUAAUCCCAAAAUACACUUCCUACUCUCUCUUAUUUCCCGCACCAAAUCAAUAAAAUAAGAAAUAUAUUUAUAUUAGCGGAUGAGACCAAUAGUAAAAUUUAAUAAAAUUAGAAAUAAUUAGAAACUUAACCAAAUAGAAUAGUGAAAAAGGAAUAAAACCGAAAAGACUAAGGCGCGAAAUUUAAAUGGGAUUUGCAAGGGAGUGUAUAUAUAUAUAUAUAUAGAAUUGAGCUCCUAUGCUUUUAAAAGUACCAAGUCAUUGGUACUUGUAAGUUUUCGGCCUUUGGAUUAAGGAAUGUGCGGUUAAGAUGAUGUGGGCCCCUUAGGGUUGAGUAGGUGGUUGGUUGAAUAGUAUAAUCUAACGAGUAAAAAUGAUCAAAGGCGUAGAUCUAACGGUAAAAAAUUUACAAGCACCAAGUGCUUUGCACUUUUACAAGUACCGUAGCCGGACUCUAUAUAUAUAUAUAUAUAUAUAUAUAUAUAUAUAUAUAUAUAUAUAAUUAGGCUAUUAUACUAUCUAUAGUACCGGAGCUCCGGUACUAUAGUCUUGUUUUCGAUCUUAAGGUGUUCAAAUUAACGAUCCACACCGUGGUCAAAUUAAUGAUCCACACCGUUAAAUAUGAUUUAGGGUAUAUGAAGUUCUUAGAAAUAAAUUUUAGUUUCUUUCGACAUCGUUUACUUAGUAAAUAAUUAUGUCAAAAUGAACGAUAGAAAUUGAAUAAUAUUUAAAGUUUGAGAAUGAGAUUUUUAAAUUCAAGAUCAAGAAUGUUAAUCUUAAUCUAAAUAGUUUAAAGUAUUUUCUAUCAAAAUUUAAAGAAAUUUAAAUUCUUUUACAUUGUUAAACUCCAAACUUGUCAUAGUAGCCAUUGAAAAUUGACAAUUUUGAAAUGGUUUGAUUAUAAAGUAAACUAUGUCGAAAAAAUAUAAAAUUUUAUUUCUAAAAAUUUUAAAUACUCUAGAUUAGUUUUAACAGUGUGGAUCGUUGAUUUGAACACCCUAAGAUCGAAAAUGAGACUAUAGUAUCGAAGCCUUACUACUAUAGAUAGUAUAGGAGACUAGCUCUCUACAGAGUCCGGCUGCUAUGCUAUUAAUAGCACGAAACACUUGGUGCUAUUAAGUUUUCCACCGUUAGAUCUACCCUUUUGAUCAUUUUCACCCGUUAAAUCAUACUAUUUAACCAACCACCCACUCAACCCUAAGGGGCUCACAUCAUUCUAACAGCACAUCUCUUAAUCCAAUGGCCAAAAACUUGGUAGCAUCAGUGACUUGAUGCUAUUAAUAGUUUAUUAGCCUAGUUCUAUAUAUAUAUAUGUAUAUAUAGAGUAGGGCUACUAUACUAUUAUGAGUAUUGGGCCCUUCGUACUCAUAAGUUGUUUUCGAUGAUGGAGCUUCCGAAUCGACGAUCCACUCCGUUAAAUAUGAUCUAGAGUAUUUGAAACUUCUAGAAAAUAAAUUUNNN
rnacentral:lncRNA from 1 species